rnacentral:lncRNA from 1 species
UUAUAUUAACACCCCACAAAUUGUUGAAUAAACCCCACAAACUUAAUACACCCCACAUUUGCUUUUUCACUUAAAAAUUAUCUUAAUACACCCCACUUACUUUCCCAUAAUACCCCCACACCCCACAUUCUCAAUAUACAUCUUAUAUUUUGUACAUACACCCCACAUUUCUCAAAUCUUAUAACACUCAUUUUUCAUUUUCAGGGAUUGAAUAUAACCAUAUGAACACUAAAAGAUGAAUAUGAAUAUAGAAGUUUAAAUAAUGCAGCAAACGCAAAAUUAAAUAA